AGCGAACGCUGGCGGCAGGCCUAACACAUGCAAGUCGAACGAAGUCUUCGGACUUAGUGGCGGACGGGUGAGUAACACGUGGGAACGUGCCUUUAGGUUCGGAAUAACUCAGGGAAACUUGUGCUAAUACCGAAUGUGCCCUUCGGGGGAAAGAUUUAUCGCCUUUAGAGCGGCCCGCGUCUGAUUAGCUAGUUGGUGAGGUAAAGGCUCACCAAGGCGACGAUCAGUAGCUGGUCUGAGAGGAUGAUCAGCCACAUUGGGACUGAGGCACGGCCCAAACUCCUACGGGAGGCAGCAGUGGGGAAUCUUGCGCAAUGGGCGAAAGCUUGACGCAGCCAUGCCGCGUGAAUGAUGAGGGUCUUAGGAUUGUAAAAUUCUUUCACCGGGGACGAUAAUGACGGUACCCGGAGAAGAAGCCCCGGCUAACUUCGUGCCAGCCGCCGCCGUAACAC
rnacentral:rRNA from 1 species